CAGGCAACAGGCGGGUGGAGAGAUCGGGGAGCCAGCUUGGAGAGCGGAGAGCGCACACCACCAGCGCAGUCGAGACUAAAACGGAAAUAACGAAUUAACUACCAAGGGGAUUGUCAUUUCCUUAACAUCCUUUCAAUCGUUAAUGACACAUCGUUAAAGGAGGCAAAACGAAAAACACAACAGAGAUUGAUUUAUUAUCCAUAGUUUACCGUUCCAGCGCGUGGAAAGAUGAAGACUAAAAACCUUGAGCAAAGCUUGUCUGAUUCCAGAGAAUUGGAUGGAUCGUAUGACCAGCUGACUGGUGUAACUUUGAGGGGCAAGGAGCUGAUCAAUGCUGCCUUGCCAAUCAGUGGGGCUCUGGCAAAGACCUCACCUCCAGUUUCACCUCUUGCCUGCUCACCAACGGUCGUCAAUGGGGAGACCCAAAUUAGAUGCAUCUAUUGAGCCAGCACUUGGAGACUUGCAAGAUGAUGUGAUGGAGUCCUGACUGACAGGCAGGCUUGAUACUGACGUCUCUGAGUGGAGGGAGACCUGGCACUCGGCAUAAAAUUUUUACUAGACACAACUUUUACUUGUAUUGUCUUUUUUACUAUUGAAUUGAAUUGGUAUCUGUCAAUAUGGGGAGGGAGAAUCCCUGUGUAUUCUGCACCAGGAUCAGGGAACUCUUGUUGUAUACAGGACACCACACAAGAAAGUACAGAAUGACCACUCUGUUUGUCAAUGUAGCCCCAUUACCAGCAGACAAAAUGCAGAUAGGCACAGUAUCUGUAUCGGCUGUGAAUGACAAUGAAAGGUGCACAUUGUUAUAUUAGUAUAUCAGUAUCUAUGGUAUGAUGUCAAGUUUGGCUUCUGUCAUGGCCACCCGCAUUUCUAGAAGAUCAAGGCAAAAACCAAGGCCAAAUCAGCAGGUGCAGUUCCUUUUUAAACGCUGGCCUUCAUAGGCUGAAGGGAAUUUAACAUAGAACAGCAGGUCGAAUAAAAAGUAUGUCUUUACUCUUGUUUUGUGAAAAUGACAAUAGUUCAAUAUUUUUGCACUUCCUCUUUGUGGUCCAACACUGAUGAUGAGAUGUAACUCCACCUGGCUCCACCUUGGUUAGGCUGCCCUCUGUUGGUAUCAAUUGGACUGUACACGACAUUCACCAGUGCUGAAUUCCAAAUCAACCCCUGGCCAAGACCCUUGUUCCUAGUCAUUCCUGUAUAUUUGAGAGGAUUGGAUGGGAGUGUACAAAACGGCAACUUUUUCACCCAGCUAUUCAAAAGGCAAGAUGAAGAUAUUACCAUAUUGUUUAUAUCUAUCCAAUUAAUCCAAUCUACAGGAAUGCCCAAUUAGCAGACACUUAUUCAAAGCAAAGCGAUUUACAGUACAGGAGCAAGUUCAAAGUAUGUAUGUGUACUUGAUCCUUGUGAGAAUUAAACCAUGACCUUGGCAUUGUGUUCUUACCAACUGAGCCACACAUCAUUUGUGAAACCUUUGCCUUAAAAUCAUAUUUUCUUUAUUCAGAUGGAGCAGACUGAAUAGUAGAAAUGAACUGAGGUUAUGGUGGUGUGGCUAAACUGUAAUACUAAAUCUGAACCACCGCAUGUCACCAUAGUCUUAGUUUAGUGCAAUCAGAGUCAUACACAUCAGCUACACGUUGUGCUGGGUUCAUUUCCAGUCCUUCACUAACACACCAAAUUACACCAACCAGUUUCUCAUCAGGACUGUGAUGAGUUGCAUCAAGUGUGUUAGUGUAGGGCUGGAACAAAAGCAUACACACUGUAGCUACUUGGGACCAGGCUUGGUCCCCUAAAUAUAAGUAUAUUGUUAUUAUUAUUUAUUUUUUCAAUUUCACCUUGAUUUAACCAGGCAGCAGAGAUUUAAUAUCUGUUUCAGAUGGUUUCUCUCACUCCCACUGUCUCCGCUCUUCUCACUCCCUCUCUCUUUCUCCUGUUCCCCUUCCUCUGUCUCUCACCUCAAACCUCCUCUCGUGUUGCUGUACUCCUGUCCCCCUGACCUGCUCAAGUCCUGGAUUAAAAUCUACAGAUUCCAACCCGUUUUUUUGUUUGUAUCAGGCCUUAAAAGUAGACUCAGCGAUAUGAGAUAUACAGUAAAUUACUAUUAGCAAAUAGAAACAAACAAAGAAAGUGCAAAGUGAGAGAA
rnacentral:lncRNA from 13 species